rnacentral:tRNA from 1 species
GGGGAUGUAGCUCAGCGGGAGAGCACCUGCUUUGCAAGCAGGGGGUCGGCGGUUCAAAUCCGCUCAUCUCCA